rnacentral:tRNA from 1 species
GGGGACGUAGCCCAAUCGGCCAGAGGCAAGGCGCUUAAAACGCCUUCAGUGAGGGUUCGAAUCCCUCCGUCCCCA